CCAUAAAAAUAAAAAUAAAAAAAAGCAUGCUUGCGUGAUAGGCCACGGUCAUGCCACGAGCUCAUGAGAGGAGAGAGCUAAUGUACUCUUAGCUGGUUUUAUAACACGAGCAUUUUCUUUUUUUUUUUUUUUAUGAGCGAGACGAGAUGGGGGGAAGGGGUCCGGCGGAGGGAGUGGCUUCUGAUCUCGGACUGGGUCUCCAUAUUGAAGACUGAAGACUAUGAUGAAGGCAUUGACGACCUUUUCGGCCAUCAUCGUCCAUGGUAUCCAUGUAAUCCUUUCUCUCUCAUUCCUCCCCUCUCCCAUAUCCUUGAGAACCAUAUCUUCUACCUGUUCCUUCUUCCCUUUUGGCACCGUCGUAUAUGUUUCAUCCACAACGAAUUUGAUGGGAGAUCAUCUUCCUUUUAGAAGAAGAAAGGGGGAGGAGCACUUUUAUUUGCAAUUCCUUUUUCUUCUUACAGGGCUCUCCUACUCUACGAAACAAAUUUCCAAAUUAUUUAGCACAUAACAUAACCGAUUUUAAAAUAUCCUAUCCUUGAGACCACAACCAUCCAUGUGGCUCCUUAUCUGCAUCAGUACCACAUGCUCGGUGCGAGCACCAACAGUGAUAAUAAUGGUGAUUAGCUGUACCAUGUAAGUAGUAUAUACACUAAAUAUCUUGUGCUCUUAUCGCAUUAGGAAUGUGGUGUUCUGAAUGCCAGUGCAAUAUGGGUAGAAUAUAUUCUCAGGAUAGCUGUGCUUCUCCUGUAGAGUUCGAUGGCGAUUCCAGUCUAUCCAAACGAAAAUGAAAAGGAGGGAUUGCAUUUCUCCCCAAUUGUGGUCAUCAGUGGACCUACCACCUGCUGGGGUGGUGCUCCCAAUACCUGGCUAUUAGUGACCACAGCAUAGUACAAACAUGAUCAUGUAGCUGUGGAUCGGCACUGGUGGGCAGGGGAGGGCUCAUUUCUUGAGGCAACUCUCAUGCAUGACAUGCAUGUAUGCAUGCAUAUCUAUAAGAAUGUCCAGGAGCCCAAAAUGAAUUAGAAAGCACUUGUUGGCACAGUAUACGCUCCGGUCUCUCCAGGAAAAUGUUCUUGAAGACGACCAUGAGAUCAAAGAUCUGAUCACUGCAUAGAUUAUAGAGUAGGUGAAAUAACUAAAUGUUUUUAGUACGUGUUCCUUUAGACAUAUAGAUAUUGUGUCAUGAGUCAUGACAGCGGAAUGUGUUUCAUCAUCUAUGAAGGUUGUCACCUAUCGCAGAUACUGAUGUCAGUAGAAACCUGUGAUGGCCCCAAAUCCAGGAAUUUGUUCCAAGAUGCUGCUGAUGCAGGAACAAACAAAUGACAGCCCAUGAAAAAUUAAAAGUUCACAGCACCAGAAGCACAAAGCAUGUCUCCAUCAAAGCAUUCCUCAUCUUGUUGGCCACAAAGAUCUCAAUCCAAACAUCCACAGCAAGACACCCUGUCGAGGAUGCUAUUCUGGCUCAUUAACACUGAACCGAAUAAAUGAAGAUAGAAACAACUGACGGACCAUUCCAUUAAGUCAUCUAAAGUAGAAUCUGUCGGUGCUAAUCUUCAGGCAUAGAAUGCGACCCAUCAUUUGGAGGUUCGGACGCUAACUUCUGUAAGGGCGAACGGUUUUCGAGAUUCCAUCAUGGAAAAAAAAAAGGUGCGCUGAAUUGUUCUUUUGUGCAUAGCUAUAAGCCAGUAUUUCUAGAAUACGUUAAUAUUCCACCUUCUAGAAAUUCCCUAUGUUGAUGUGUAAGAUGACUUGCUUCUGAUGUCAUCUAUUGCAACUCUUGGAUACAUCCAUAAGGCGUAAUGCAUAUGUCUUCAAGUC